rnacentral:rRNA from 1 species
AAAUAUUAAUUCACACCCACCAACGCCAGGGUAUUACAAGCCUUAGCUUAAAACCCAAAGGACUUGACGGUGUCCCAUCCACCUAGAGGAGCCUGUUCCAUAAUCGAUAAUCCCCGCUAUACCUAACCACCCCUCGCCAAUCAGUCUGUAUACCUCCGUCGUAAGCUUACCAUAUGAAUGCUUACAGUAAGUUUAAUGGCCACAAGCACCAAUACGUCAGGUCAAGGUGCAGCUUAUGAAGUGGAGGACAAUGGGCUACAAUUUCUAUACUAGAACAAACGAAAUGCUGCAUGAAACACAGCCACGAAGGCGGAUUUAGUAGUAAAAAGAAAAUAGUGUGUUCUUUUUAACUAGGCCCUGGGACGUGU